rnacentral:rRNA from 1 species
GACGAACGCUGGCGGCGUGCUUAACACAUGCAAGUCGAACGGUGAUGCUCCAGCUUGCUGGAGUGGAUCAGUGGCGAACGGGUGAGUAACACGUGAGCAACCUGCCCCAGACUCUGGAAUAAGCUCUGGAAACGGCGUCUAAUACUGGAUACGAAACUGCCCCGCAUGGGCAUGGUUUGGAAAGCUUUUCGGUUUGGGAUGGGCUCGCGGCCUAUCAGCUUGUUGGUGAGGUAAUGGCUGACCAAGGCGACGACGGGUAGCCGGCCUGAGAGGGCGACCGGCCACAAGGGGACUGAGAGACGGCCCAGACUGCUACGGGAGGCAGCAGUGGGGAAUAUUGCACAGUGGGCGAAAGCCUGAUGCAGCGACGCCGCGUGAGGGAUGACGGCCUUCGGGUUGUAAACCUCUUUCAGCAGGGAAGAAGCGAAAGUGACGGUACCUGCAGAAGAAGCACCGGCUAACUACGUG